ACUGAGCUACACGGUCAGACGGAUUUAAGACUGGAAAUUAUGAAAUAUAUACUGAAAUAUAUAUACUUAAUUUCCAGUCUUAAAUCCGUCUGACCGUGCAGCUCAGU